GAUGAGAUUUCCCAUCACGUAAGUGAGUAAGAUCCCUAGAAGAUGACUAGGUAGAUAGGUCAGAGAUGGAAGCAUGGCGACAUGUGGAGUUGACUGAUACUAAUCGAUCGAGGACUUAACCACAUU
rnacentral:rRNA from 1 species